AGACAUGGAACAGACUCUCCCUUAGAGAAUUCAGAGAGAGCAUGGCCUUGCCAAAACCUUGAGUUCUGACUUCUGGCCUCUUUGUGAAAAAAUAAAUUUGUUUUAACUCACCCAGUUUUUGGUAACUUGUUAUGGUAGCCCCCAGGAAACUAUAUAGACUCUACAAAAAUUGAAAACAUUAGCUCAGAAAAACAAAAUCACAAACUCAGAUACAAAUGAAAAGAGUUCUAGCAAUGGCUGGUAAAAUGUUGGUACACCUUCUCUUCCAGAAACAACUAUAAAACUGAACAAAAUAAUUAUUGAAAAACAAUCAUAAUUUCAGGGCUUCAGGAUGGACCAAAAGCAAACAACGAAUUGAGGAGCAUAUAUGUACUAAAAACUGCUGAAUUUCAGGUGUGUGAGUACUUCUCGCAUGGACCUGGAAAUUCCAAGUGCACGUCUGUGUUCGAUUAUAAAGAUACAGAAGAUCAGGAGGAUGUGGUGUGGUGCUCUGGAAUGGAGAGCUGCAGGUGCGAAUCCUCAGCUGAAGGUGACGAGGAUGCCACUUGGAGCUGUAUUGUGUGGGGAAGUUCACACAGCCCUGCCACAGUGUGUGUCAGACUCUAACAUUUAGUUUGGCCAACUCUCCUCCACUUACAGCCCUCCCCAAUCACAAAAUUGGCAGGGAAAACCCUGGACUGGUGGCUACAAAUGGAAACCUUCUGACAAAACCUAGAAAACAAAUUGCAGUUGAUUCCUUCCGGAGCAGGAUCCCAAUGGGCAUCAUUUCCUGAAUUUCUCUGCCCGCAUUUGGCAACCAUCCAGCAGGAUCUUCUCCUAUGCAAGAAGUGACCCCUUCUCUAGAACCCUCACCUCUUCUCCCUGGGCACUUGAACACUGAAUGCAGCCCUCAGGCCUUCCAGGCAUCGCUUUACUAUUCUCUUGGCUCUACAAUCCUACAAUUUUCAAUACUAGUGCCAGCCACAUCUGAUGUUGUUUUAUGUUCCCCGAAGAGAAGAGCUCUCCUCCAAUUUCAUAGAGAUAUAAUUGAAAUACAGGAAAUUGCACAUAUUUAAAGUAUACUGUUUGUUCAGUUUGACAUAUGUAUACAUCACCCCAAUCAAGAUGGCAAACAUUUUAAUCAGCACCAACAAUACUGACACGUUAGAUGAACUUGUGUUUCUGCAAUGUAUAUAAAUAUAUAUAUAAUUGCAUAUAAAUGGGAUCAGACAGCAUGUAUUUUACAUGCUGUCUGAUCUAGCUUCUUUAGUCUGAUCUAGCUUCUUUAGUUCAGCAUAGUGAUCUUGAGAUUUACCCAUGUUGUUGUGUGUAUACACCGUAUGUUCCUUUUUAUUGCUGAGUAAUAUUCCACAGUAUGAAUAUAUCAUAAUAUUUUAUAUAUUCAUCUGAUGAUGGACAUUUGUGUUGCUU